CCAGAGAACGCCGGGGACGCGAUCUCCGGUGAGGCCAUGAACCAGAGAUGACCUGGGAGAGAGAACCCGUAACCCGGUAACCCGAGCAACCCAGGGAGACCCGUAACCCGAAGGGCCCAGAGACCCAAUCCUCCAUGGGCGUUCCCGGCAAGUUUUCCAGCGGUCUAGUGAGGCGAUUUCCGGUGGAUUUUCUAGGAAAAUCCUCUAGGCUUGUGUCAUCAUUGGAGACUUUAAUUGGUUUUCCAAUGUUGUGUCCAAGUGACGAGAACCCAGUGGGAUGUUCGAGUCCAUAGUCCAAUGCAGCCCAGGUGAGUAUUCUACUCACUAGAAAAGAUAUUUUUAUGUAUUUUAUAGAAAUGCAAAUGAUAUAUGAUUUUCUUACUGAACCAACGAUAUGCUAACAUGUAUGUUUUGGAUGUUUUAAGUAGUUUCAAUUAUGUUGAAAUAUCAAUGAUGUUACGAAAUGAUGCAUGAAUGAAAUGUUUUGAAUUGAUUUGAAGUAUCUAAAAGUGUGUUGCAGUUGGGAUUUAAUUAUGCAAAGAAGAAUGAUGAAAUUUCAUGUUGAUUGGUUUAUGGUAUUUGAAGAAAGCAUGAUUUGCAAAGAAUAAGAAUAUAGAGUCAGAAAGCAUGACUUGCAAAGAAUAGGAGUAUAGAGUUUGAAUUGUAAAGCAUAAAGCAUGAACACAUAAUAAUGAAAGAGAGUGUAAGGCUCAUAAUAAUGAAAGAGAGCGUAAGGCUCAUAAUAACAAAGAGAGCAUAAGGCUCAUAAUAACGAAGAGAGCGUAAGGCUCAUAAUAAUGAAAGAGAGCGUAAGGCUCACAAUGAAUAAGAAGACUAUCAUGAGCAUGCAUAGCAUUGUUUAAAUUGUGUGAUGUUUUCAUGAUAAGUAUAUUGUAGUUUUGCUAGACGUGUUAGUAUGCAUAAGAGUCUUGAUAGAAAAAGAACUUAUGUAUAUUGGUAUCGGAUGGUUGCAUGAUUUAAAUGCCAUUGUUUUCUAUAAUGAAUCUCCUACGAAUAAUAUUAGCUGCCUAGUAUGUUAAAAUGCUUUCUAUUUGUCAGUGUAUGCUAUAUCAGCUAUGGGGAUUUUCAAAACAAAAGUUUAUAAAAUUGGUAGCUGUUAUAGUGUACACAUGACUAAAAAAGAAAAUUUGGUUCUUUGCGAAAACUCAGUGAAUAGUAUACCUCUGAGGUCUUAGUGUAUUUAUUUAUGCUAAGACGGUGGGCUCAUAAUUCUACCUAUACAGAUGUGGCAAACCCCCACAACCGUAUAAAUGUUCACUUGGCUGCAAGUAUUCCGAUCGUAGUUGAUAGCAUUGUAGAAGGGUACUUUGGAUGUUAUGACUGAAGCACGCCGCAACGGUCGUAAUGGGUGGACCAAGGGUUGUCCACCUGCUUAUAGGUUUAGUUUAUGGCUUGUGACGUUUGUGUCACUUGUUCUGGUAAAGCUAUUUCUGUUAUGUAAUUAUAUUGAGAAAAGACUUAAACAGAUAGAUGUAAUAUGGCUCUUUGUUUAUGAUUAUUUGUAAUAGAAGUUUAUGUUA